rnacentral:tRNA from 1 species
GCCCCUGUAGCUCAAGCGCAGAGCACCGGUCCUGUAAACCGGCGGUGGAGGUGCGACCCCUCCCGGGGGCU